rfam:Trichinella pseudospiralis scaffold2s, whole genome shotgun sequence.
CAAAGUCUAUGAUGAAUCAUUAUUACCUACAUUAUUUGAUCACUGAUAAAUAUCGAUUCUGAGACUGCA